UACAGGGGGUGCAAACGUUGCUCGGAAUCAUUGGGCGUAAAGCGCACGUAGGCGGUUCGUUAUGUCGGAUGUGAAAGCCCUUGGCUUAACCGAGGAAGUGCAUCCGAAACUGGCGAGCUAGAGUACGAAAGAGGAUCGCGGAAUUCCCGGUGUAGAGGUGAAAUUCGUAGAUAUUGGGAGGAACAUCGGUGGCGAAGGCGGCCAUCUGGGAAGCGACUGACGCUGAGACGCGAAAGCGUGGGUAGCAAACAGG
rnacentral:rRNA from 1 species